rnacentral:misc_RNA from 1 species
GUUGAAGAACGCAGCGAAAUGCGAUAAGUAAUGUGAAUUGCAGAAUUCAGUGAAUCAUCGAAUCUUUGAACGCACCUUGCGCCCUUUGGCCAUUCCGAAGGGCAUGCCUGUUUGAGUAUCAUGAACACCUCAACUCUUUAUGGUUUUCCAUGAUGAGCUUGGACUCUGGGGGUUUUGCUGGCUCACAGUCGGCUCCUCUAAAAUGAAUCAGCUUACCAGUGUUUGGUGGGUAUCAUGGGUGUGAUAACUAUCUACGCUUGUGGUUUUUCCACCAGGUAACCUUCAGCAGUGGAGGUUCGCUGGAGCUCAUAGAUGUCUCUCCUCAGUGAGGACAGCCCUUUGAAUGUUUGAUCUCAAAUCAGGUAGGACUACCCGCUGAACUUAAGCAUAUCAAUAAGCGGAGGA